rnacentral:rRNA from 1 species
UACGUAGUGUGCGAGCGUUGUCCGGAAUUAUUGGGCGUAAAGGGCUCGUAGGCGGUUUGUCGCGUCGGGAGUGAAAACCUCGGGCUUAACUCGGGGCUUGCUUUCGAUACGGGCAGACUGGAGGUAUGCAGGGGAGAACGGAAUUCCUGGUGUAGCGGUGAAAUGCGCAGAUAUCAGGAGGAACACCGGUGGCGAAGGCGGUUCUCUGGGCAUGACCUGACGCUGAGGAGCGAAAGUGUGGGGAGCGAACAGG